AUCAGGCUAUCAUACAAUGUAAGAUAAUUAUGAAUCUAAACUAAUUUGGCAUUGGCGGCUAUAGGCAGAUUGCAAGAGAAUGGAUCCCACAAAGUCACUCAGUUAGUCUCGGCUGGGCUAUUCAAGGCUAUAGACUAAACUCGCAAGUUGCCAUGGCUGGCAGAAAUUAAGCGGGAGUGACGGAGAGGCGCCCGCCGAUCUCCUCCAAACCCAACCCCCACGUUGUGCUGCGCAUCAUCACCAUUGGGGUGAGCGAGCGCUGUGCUCCUGUUAUGCUGGUGGGUAGAAAGUGCGGUUAUUUCCCUUUCCCUAUACACACCUCUUUAAGUCUGUUGUCCAUAAUUUACAUCUAUGCGUGGCACAGACUAUACUCUCCUCCCCAAUAAUUUAGUCUGGCAGUUGCAGUCGGAUUAGUCUUUAAUUCAAAGGAAGGUUAGAAAAGAAGUCUGACAUUCUUAGUAAAGUGUUGCCUACUUCAAAUCAAUUGCAUAAGCAAAAAAACAUCUGGUCUGGAUCGGUUGAAAGGUUUGAAAGUAGCCUGAGUCUACAUCCCGGUGCGUGAGUCCUAAAGCGUUAACUCCCCCCCUCCGUUGGCCAUUGAAGAGAACGCUGCGUGGGCUGCUAGAUCAUUUGAGAGUGCAUUUUUCUCCUCCAAUCCGCUACACAGAGCACACUCCCCAUAUGCCCAAUGGGGAGAAGGGGUGUCUCUAACGAAUUUGAAUGAAGAGGGUAGCUUUCGGCGCCAUUUUCGAGUGAGCUGCGAUUGCUUCAACAGCUGAGAGGAGCGGCUGCAGUGAGUAGGCAAGACGAGCUCUGGAGCUGUCGCAAGAGACGGACAUUAUUUUCGGAGACUCGGAAAAUUAUAUACAAAAAUUAUCCCUAAAAAAAGAACGCCGAUGGAUAAAGAAAAGGGAUAAUAAGGCCAAGACUACGUCGUAUCAGGACUGGGGGAAACGUUAGAUAGUUACUGUAACGUUAGCAUUACUAGCGAUAAGAAAUUGGUGUCUGACUUGGCGUCUGUUGAAAUGUAACGUUUAUAAAUGCAUUUACGACAAAAUAAGUGGACCUCUCUAAAAAAAGAAGCAAACAUUUUAGAAAAAAUAUUUCCGGGUCGAUUGAGUGGAGAAUGACCGGUAGAAUUUAGAUUUUUUUUUGUUGUUUGUUGCGUUUUAGUCCUGUUUUAGAGCGUUCCGUUUGAGCGGGAGGUGGAAAAGCGGGAGGCGCUGGAGUGAAGAGCCAGUCGGCACCGCUGUCAACAACAUGCACUGCGAGAUGAAUCUUCAUAUCGUUGGCUACCUCUUGAAAACGCUGCAAGGAUUUUUCUGUAAAGCCGAGGACACCUUUUCAUGUUUGAUUUAUUCAUUUUUUUUUUUAAAUGUAUAUAUAUAUAUUUUUUUAAAGGAAUUUUAAAAGUC